CGCUUUUUGUAGUUAUAAGAAGUCGUACCUGCCCAGUGAAGUAAUAUAAACGGCCGCAGUACCCUGACUGUGCUAAGGUAGCAUAAUAAUUUGCCUCUUAAUUGGUGGCUGGAAUGAAUGGUUUGACGAGGGCAUAGCUGUUUCUAAUGUAUUAUAUAUAAUUUAUAUUUUAGGUUAAAAUUCCUAAAUUUAAUUAAGGGACGAGAAGACCCUAUUGAAUUUUUAAAGAAUAUAUAAAUGAAGUUUAUUGUUGAAAUUAACUUAUUUAUAUAAUAUUUUAAUUGGGGCAAUUAAGGAACAAGAAAAGCUUCCAUAUAUAAAUUAAAUAAGACUUUUGAUCCAACGAUAAUAUGUUGAUAAUUGGAAUAAAUUACCAUAGGGAUAACAGCGUAAUUUUUCUUGAGAGGUCUUAUCGAAAGAAAAGUUUGCGACCUCGAUGUUGGAUUAGGAUGCUCAAAAGGUUGCAGAAGCUUUUAUGAUUAGUCUGUUCGACUAUUUAAAUCCU
rnacentral:rRNA from 1 species